rnacentral:lncRNA from 1 species
GUCAGGAACUUCUGGUUUCUCAACACCAUAAAAGAAGAUCUAGAGUGUCUUCCUUUACCCGGAUGUGGAAUAGUACUAAAAAUAAGAAUGCUGCAAUUGCUGGGAGGUUGCAGCAUGGGCUCUGGUGAGAAUAGAAAGACAGGAGGAUGCUGGCUGCAGCCUGCAAAUUGUCAGCCAGUUGUGCCAGAUGUUGUCAUCCGCGGAGAGUGGGGAAGAAGGACCAGGGUGGCUUCUGAGCUUUUCAGGUUAAGCCUGAGUUUGGUCUUCUGUUACUUGGAACUGAAAUAAUGUGCAUUGACACACCUAACAAGUCAAAGUAUUGUCUUUUGCUGGUCUGCUCUGGUCCUGGAAACAUCCACUGAUAGAAUCACUGGUCUGGGACAAAUUGUGGUACCCAAAGACCUCAGGAAGCACUUAGAAGCAUUACUCCUGAAGUCCCAUUCGUCCCAAGAAGAGUUGCUGGCUGGAGGAGACAAUAUGUAAACAUGUCAUGACAAGAUGGUGUGCCAUCAAGUCUGAGAUAAUCUGUUAUGGCAACGUAAGAAGCUAAUACAAGAUGCAGGAGUGAAGCAGCGAGGUCUGGAAAAAAGCUAUUGCAAAAAUACAGUCUCAGCAAGGGGAUAGAAGGAGCCCUGCAUUCUCUCCUGACACGCUUGACAAAAACAAACCCAACUAGAGGUCGCCAGCAACGGAGGGGCAUCCUGUGUAAGGACUUGGAAGAGGAGUUGUAUUGUCACCCCCUGGCCACUAGAGGACUUCAUCCUAUUUCAGUGGAGGAAGGCCUGUUAGGGGCCUCUCUAUACUGGUGGAGGUUUGGUCGUCUUCCCUUCACUUGAUUUCUGCCAGUGGCCUUAUGUGAGGAUGCUUCAUGAGAUGUCAAGUAUCCGAGGAGUCUGUGACACAACCAUCCAGUGGUGAAUUGCUAAGGAGCUCCUCUCCAGCCUGCUUGACUCUGAGGUUAAAAGAGUCUUCAUGUUGAGCACAAGUCAUCUCUUUGCACUUUCACCAGUUGUGUCCAUCUGAAAAACACAGAGGUCUGUCUCACUUCUGCAUCACAGUCCCUUCCAAGAAGCUCCACAAUGGGUAAGGCACAAUAAAAUGGCUUAUAUUCAACAAACACAUAACACUCUUCCUGUACUAGACACCAUGCCAAGGGCUUUACAAUUGCUAACUUACUUGAUCCUCAGAGUCACCUUAUGAGACAGGUGGAUGGGAUAUUGCCCCUUUUACAGAUGGGUAAACUGAGGUACAGAAUAGUUACAGAUCUUGCUGAGAGCUAUGCACCUAUUAAGUGGUUGGGCUGGGAUUUGAACUCAGGCAAUCAAGCUCCAGAGUGCACGCUGUUAACUAGCAUGCUCUGCUAUGCUGCCUCCCAGGAGAUGGGCCAGAUAAACAAUGACAUAUUUUAAAAAACAUCCUAACCUAUUUUUUUCAUUAUAUGCACAUAACAGAAAAUUUGGAAAAUCAAAAAAAAAAAAAAUUACCCACGUCUCACCACACCACCACAAUCAUAGCAAACAUUCUAGUGUUUUUGUUUUAAUUUUUAAUGUGCAUAUGUGUUUUUUCAUAUCUUUGUGCAAGCAAUUUGUAUCCUACUUUGCACUUAACAUGUAAUAUCCUAAUGUUAUCACACAAUUUUCAUAACCACUCUUUUAAAUAUUGCAAGAAUGUGUGUAUGUGGUGACAUAAUAAAAGUUCUAGGGAAACAGUUAAACAAGAAUGGCCAAAGGAGGAAGAGAGCAGUACAAAUUGUCAAGGCAAGGACGCAAAAAACAAAAAGGAUGUCCGUGGAAACUCUGGACUUGCGCAAUUACAGGAAAGGCCACUACGCUGACACAUCAUGUCAAUGGCACUGAGCUAGGAGGUGGCAGUUAGGAAUCCCGUGCCUCAUGGCAUCUGGGGACUAAAAAUAGCUCUGUAAGGUGACAACAUGUGGCAAAGACCUAGUGGGGAGAAAAGGGGCUUGUGUUGUGUUGUGCUGUAGUAUACUGCACUAGAGCAAAUUCAGAGGAGCUGCAAUGAGAAGGCCUGCAUCCCAAUUCCAGCUUUAUUCAUUGUG